AGAGUUUGAUCAUGGCUCAGAACGUACGCUGGCGGCACGCCUAACACAUGCAAGUCGAACGCAGUAGCAAUACUGAGUGGCAAACGGGUGAGUAUAAUGUGGGAAUCUGCCUUUUGGUCUGGAAUAACACGGGGAAACUUGUGCUAAUACCGGAUAAGCCCUUACGGGGAAAGUUUUAAUGCCGAAAGAUGAGCCUGCACUUGAUUAGCUAGUUGGUAAGGUAAAAGCUUACCAAGGCAACGAUCAAUAGCUGUUCUUAGAGGAAGACCAGCCACAUUGGGACUGAGACACGGCCCAGACUCCUACGGGAGGCAGCAGUGGGGAAUCUUGCACAAUGGGGGAAACCCUGAUGCAGCGAUGCCGCGUGAGUGAAGAAGGCCUUUGGGUUGUAAAACUCUUUCGUCGGGGAAGAAAAUGACUGUACCCGAAUAAGAAGGUCCGGCUAACUUCGUGCCAGCAGCCGCGGUAAUACGAAGGGACCUAGCGUAGUUCGGAAUUACUGGGCUUAAAGAGUUCGUAGGUGGUUGAAAAAGUUGGUGGUGAAAUCCCAGAGCUUAACUCUGGAACUGCCAUCAAAACUUUUCAGCUAGAGUAUGAUAGAGGAAAGCAGAAUUUCUAGUGUAGAGGUGAAAUUCGUAGAUAUUAGAAAGAAUACCAAUUGCGAAGGCAGCUUUCUGGAUCAUUACUGACACUGAGGAACGAAAGCAUGGGUAGCGAAGAGGAUUAGAUACCCUCGUAGUCCAUGCCGUAAACGAUGUGUGUUAGACGUUGGAAAUUUAUUUUCAGUGUCGCAGCGAAAGCGAUAAACACACCGCCUGGGGAGUACGACCGCAAGGUUAAAACUCAAAUGAAUUGACGGGGACCCGCACAAGCAGUGGAGCAUGUGGUUUAAUUCGAUGCAACGCGAAGAACCUUACCAGGCCUUGACAUCCCCGGAACUUUCUAGAGAUAGAUUGGUGCCUUCGGGAACCGGGUGACAGGUGCUGCAUGGCUGUCGUCAGCUCGUGUCGUGAGAUGUUGGGUUAAGUCCC
rnacentral:rRNA from 1 species